CAAGGUGGCCAAGUGGUUAAGGUGAUGGACUACUCAUCCACUGUGCUCUGCAUGCAUGGGUUCAAGUCCCAUCCUUGUC
rnacentral:tRNA from 1 species